GUGAACAUCUUACCGGACAGUGCUGGAUUUCCCAGCUUGACUCUAACACUGUCUGGUAACGAUGUUCAA
rfam:Chlorocebus sabaeus isolate 1994-021 chromosome 20, whole genome shotgun sequence.